rnacentral:rRNA from 1 species
AGGUACCCAACUCUUGAUUAUCCUAGGCCUCUCUGAGUCUUCUGUACUGAAUAAGUCAAAACUUUCAACAACGGAUCUCUUGGUUCUGGCAUCGAUGAAGAACGCAGCGAAAUGCGAUAAGUAAUGUGAAUUGCAGAAUUCAGUGAAUCAUCGAAUCUUUGAACGCACAUUGCGCCCGCCAGUAUUCUGGCGGGCAUGCCUGUUCGAGCGUCAUUUCAACCAUCAAGCCCCGGGCUUGUGUUGGGGACCUGCGGCUGCCCGCAGGCCCUGAAAACCAGUGGCGGGCUCGCUGUCACCCCGAGCGUAGUAGCAAUCACCUCGCUCAGGGCGUGCUGCGGGCACCGGCCGUUAAAGCUGCCUUCGCGCAACACCCAAGGUUGACCUCGGAUCAGGUAGGAA